AAGGAGCGGACGAGGUAGGAAGAGCACGCCUCUCGGCAAGACGAAAGAGAAAAGAUGGACCAUGGAAGAAGCGACAAGUGAGUGACAAAGAGGCGACGGCGGGGAACAAGGAUGGGUACCGGAUCAGCGGAGAAUGGGAGGUCAGAGGCUGCAAGAGGAGGGUUGACACGAACUAAUAGCAGUCGAACGAUUAAAACUAACGAUCCCGUUGCGUCGACUAGUUCAUCCCCGGGCUUGUCCCCUCGACCAGGAUUAACUGCCGGAUGACGGGCGAUCCCGGACCAAAUGAAAAUACGGUGCUCUGCCUCCCGACGACCACUACCUUCCAUCUUCGUCCGCCACUCUAAUUGGCGCCCCGACCUCAUCGUUUCUUCGCGGAUCGACUUCAGAUCUCCUGUUCGUCGCCGGACGAGUUUUCCCGCACGUUCAUCGCGCUUACGCGUCUGCCUGAUGCGUGCCACAAUAGUACAGCAUUCUCACGCAAAAGAUGCUUACGUAAAAGGAUCCGUCGAAUCCGUCAAUAUCAAGAUUUAUGGAACAUUUGAGGAUAGAUGUGGGUAAUUCAACGCGGAAGCGUAUUUCGUUCGUCGGCGACGCUAUAAAUGCACGUUCCCCGGACCAAUUUCGAUAGCAGUGCGCGAGAAAGACAGAAAGGAAAAACAUAGCGCGAAUGGACGGAGAGCGCGACGAGAGAAGGAAAAGAGAAGGAAGCCAGGACAAUACCUCGGAGUUCCCAUCGUGACCGGCAUUUUCGAUUCCUUGCAUAAUUCAUUUUUUUUUCCCAACGCUACCACCAUCUACUGCUUUUACACCCCUGGGUUCCUUUCGUUAUCGGUACUACUUUUUUCCCUGUCACGGCUUUCGAGGACACGCUUCCAGUGAUUCUCGGGGUAUUGAUCGAUCGUUUUACAAACGAGGAAGCAUCCGCAGCCAAUAAGAGACAGACAAACGAUUAACAAUUUAAAAGAAAUCGGAAAUAAAAAGACAAAAAAUAUAGUAUUGGGUCGUCCGGAAAGUUCGUGCCGAU